rnacentral:rRNA from 1 species
AUAAGGUUAAGUUAAUAAGGGCGCACGGUGGAUGCCUUGGCACUAGGAGCCGAAGAAGGACGUGACAAACGACGAUAUGCCUUGGGUAGCUGUAAGUAAGCGAUGAUCCAGGGAUUUCCGAAUGGGGGAACCCAACAGGUAGUACCUGUUACCCACAUCUGUUAAGGAUGUGAGGAGGAAGACGCAGUGAACUGAAACAUCUAAGUAGCUGCAGGAAGAGAAAGCAAAAGCGAUUGCCUUAGUAGCGGCGAGCGAAACGGCAGAAGGGCAAACCGAAGAGUUUACUCUUCGGGGUUGUAGGACUGCAAUGUGGACUCAAAGAUUAUAGAAGAAUGAUUUGGGAAGAUCAGCCAAAGAGAGUAAUAGCCUCGUAUUUAAAAUAGUCUUUGUACUUAGCAGUAUCCUGAGUACGG